AGAGUUUGAUCAUGGCUCAGGAUGAACGCUGGCGACGCGCCUAAUGCAUGUAAGUCGCACGCAGCGCUGUUAUGGCGGCUGCGUGGCGGACGGCUGAGGAACACGUGGGUGACCUGCCCCGGCGUGGGGGAUAACGGGCCGAAAGGUCCGCUAAUCCCGCAUACGCUCCGCUCCUUGCGAGGGGAGGAAAGCGCGCAAGCGCGCGCGGGGAGGGGCCUGCGGCCCAUCAGGUCGUUGGUCGGGGUAACGGCCCACCAAGCCAAUGACGGGUCCCUGGUCUGAGAGGACGACCAGGCAGACUGGGACUGAGACACGGCCCAGACUCCUACGGGAGGCAGCAGCAAGGAAUUUUGCACAAUGGGCGUAAGCCUGAUGCAGCAACGUCGCGUGGAGGAUGACGGCCUUCGGGUUGUAAACUCCUUUUGGGGGGGACGAUGAUGACGGUACCCCCUGAAUAAGCCCCGGCUAACUCCGUGCCAGCAGCCGCGGUAAUACGGAGGGGGCAAGCGUUGUCCGGACUUACUGGGCGUAAAGGGUGCGCAGGCGGCUGUGUGCGUCGGCGCUGAAAGCGCCGGGCUCAACCCGGCGAGGCGUGCCGAUACGACGCAGCUGGAGCCUCGGAGAGGGUGGCGGAACUCCUGGUGUAGUGGUGAUAUGCGUAGAGAUCAGGAAGAACACCCGUGGCGCAAGCGGCCACCUGGCCGAGAGCUGACGCUGAGGCACGAAAGCGUGGGGAGCGAACCGGAUUAGAUACCCGGGUAGUCCACGCCGUAAACGAUGUCGACUGGGGGUGCGUGGGCCGUUAUGGCCUGUGCGCGCCGAAGCAUACGCGCAAGUCGACCGCCUGGGAACUACGAGCGCAAGCUUAAAACUCAAAGGAAUUGACGG
rnacentral:rRNA from 1 species